GAAAAAAAAAUAAAAGAAAUGAUAGGCUGAGUGAAAAAAAGGCACAUACAAACUCUCCACGAAUGCCUUUCCUCUUUCCCGUGUCACCGCCCUUGUUUCCUAGGGUUUACCCAACCUACCGCACGACGCAACCGACCCACUCCGCCACCAUUCAUUUCCGAGCAGGUUCGAGAUUUCGGAACAAAACCAGUCCUUCGCUUUCACGUGAAGAUCUCUUUCCUCUUUCCCGUGUCGCAUCCCUUAUUUCCUAGGGUUUACCCAACCUGCCGCGCGACGCGACCAACCCACUCCAACCACCAUCCAUUUCUGAGCAGGUCCGAGCAGGUUUUAAAAUUGUUAUGGAGCAAGAACUAUUAAUUGAGGGUGAUUUCCAAGUGUUAGGUGAUUCGUCAAGCUCAAACGGAGUUGAUACUCCACAAAUUGGGAUGUGUUUUUCAGCUGAAGAAGAAGUUCAUGAUUUUUACAAAUCCUAAGCCAAAGGUCUUGGUUUUGGUAUUUCAAAGCUAGGUUCCAAAAAAGGAGAUGAUGGUCAGUUGAAGUAUUUUUCAUUUGGAUGCUCUAAAAAUGGUAAGAUUGCUCCUAGAGUGAAAAAUUCCUUUUAUUCUAGACCUUGUAGUAAAACAGAUUGCAAAGCAAGGAUUAAUAUUACAAUUCAGAAUGAUGGAUUAUGUGUCAUUACUAGUAUUCAACUUGAACACAAUUAUGCAUUAAGUCCAAGGAAGUCAAGACAUUUUAGAUGUAACAAAGUGUUAGAUUCCCAAACUAAGAGGAAAUUAGAGUUGAAUGAUCAAGCGGGAAUAACUUUGAGUAAGAGUUUUCAUUCAUUUGUUGUUGAAGCUGGUGGCUAUGAAAAUUUAUUGUUUGAUGAGAGAAAGUGUAUAAAUUAUAUGGUUGAAGAACGAAGAUUAAGGCUUAGAAAUGGUGAUGCAGAAGUUUUGAAUAAUUAUUUUUGUCGUAUGCAAAGUAGAAAUUCAAAUUUCUUUUAUGUGAUUGAUGUAGAUGAAGAUUCUCAUAUAAGAAAUAUAUUUUGGGCUGAUGCAAGAUCUAGGGCUGCAUGUGAUUCUUUUUCUAAUGUCAUUACAUUUGAUACUACAUAUCUUACAAAUAGUUAUGAUAUGUCAUUUGCUCCGUUUGUUGGAGUAAAUCAUCAUGGUGAAUCUAUAUUACUUAGAUGUGGUUUGAUAUCUAAAGAAGAUUCUGAAACUUUCAUUUGGCUAUUGAAAUCAUGGUUGACAUGCAUGAGAGGACGAGCUCCACGAGCUAUUAUUACGGAUCAAUGCAAAGCCAUGGAAAUUGCAAUUCUUGAGAGGAACGACAAAGAUAUAAUAAUCUUCAACCAUUGUUACAGGAAGUGGGGCAGCUUGGGUCAAAAAAUGAUGAAAGAUGCUUUGUUUUAACAGGGAUAUUGAAAGAAGCAAAAAAAAAAAAAAAGAUUAUGGAUAUAUAUAUUGAUGAUUCAUUGGAUGGUAAUCAGGACAGCAAUAAAAUACAUGAGGAAUCAAGAAAUGAAAGCAAACAGUUUCAUAGUCCUCUAAAAGUAAGGUCUCGUGGACGACCACCGACGAAACGAAAACAACCCAAAAUUGAGCAAAUUGUGAAAAAGGCGAAGACAAAGUCUCAGAAAAAGGGUUCUACAGUUGAUAGAAAGCAAGAUGAAUUAUCAAAUUUGAAUUCUCUAAGUAUGAUCGAUGAUCAGUCCAGUCAAAAUGGUAUUUGGCAGAACACCUCUCAGCUGGGAGACAAGGAAGAUUGUAAUGUUGGCCUUCUUAGGAGUUCUAAGAUUUAUGUUGGCACUUGUACUGGGUUCUUUUUUUAAUUGAAGAUUGUAAUGCAUUUGACGAUUGGAAUGCAAUUAGGGUUUUAUGUAAUACACUUUAGUAAAAGACAUGAUGUUAUUGAUUUAGUUGUUUUUGGACUCUUUAUGCAAAAGCCAAUUAGACAUUAUGUUUUAAUUGAAGAUUGUACUGACAUUUAAAAUUUUUUAUGGAUUAAUUUGUGUUUU